rnacentral:lncRNA from 1 species
AAAGGCGAUGGUGUAAAAUAUAAGGCCAAGCUGAUUGGCAUUGAUGAUGUGCCAGAUGCAAGAGGGGAUAAAAUGAGCCAAGACUCUAUGAUGAAACUAAAGGAAUGGCGGCAGCUGGUCGGUCUCAGGGACAACACAAACAAAGGAUCUGGGUCAACAUUUCCCUUUCUGGGAUAAAAAUAAUUGAUGAGAAAACUGGGUAAUAGAGCAUGAACAUCCAGUAAAUAAGAUUUCUUUCAUUGCCCGUGAUGUGACAGACAACCGGGCAUUUGGUUACGUGUGUGGAGGAGAAGGCCAGCAUCAGUUUUUUGCCAUAAAAACCGGGCAACAGCUGAACCAUUAGUUGUUGAUCUUAAAGACCUUUUUCAAGUUAUCUAUAAUGUAAAGAAAAAGGAAGAAGAAAAGAAAAAGGCAAGGAAGCCAGCAAAGCAGUUGAAAUGGGAGUGAGGCCCUAAUGAUUCUAGAUGACCAAACUAACAAACUGAAAUCGGUGUUGACCAGAUGGAUUUGUUUGGGGACAUGUCUACACCUCCUGACCUAAAUAGUCCAACAGUAAGUGUUAUAUCCUGUUAGUGGAUCUAAACUCUGAAAUCGACACCAAUCAGAAUUCUUUAAGAGAAAAUCCAUUCUUAACAAACGGCAUCACCUCCUGUUCUCUUCCUCGACCAACGCCUCAGGCAUCCUUCUUGCCUGAAAAUGCCUUUUCUGCCAAUCUCAACUUCUUUCCCACCCCUAAUCCUGAUCCUUUCCGUGACGAUCCUUUCACACAGCCAGACC